AUGCCAACAGUAUGUACAUUUGCAAAAAGUAGAACCAACAAUUUGGACGACUACUCUAUCUUCCAGUUCCAAGAAAUAGGGCAAUUUAUAGCCCCCUAUCACCAAGGCCAUUUCUUUUGGAGGAGGACGACGAGCGGACGACAAAGCCUUGCCUCGCUGCUCGCCGCUACCGCGCCCGACUGCCGCCACCCCGUUGGUGAAGAGGCGGCGCUGGCGGUUGCGGACGGUGACGGCGCGGCCCUCGGCGAGGACGUGGGGGAGGUAGGCGUUCUCGACAAGUGCGUGGUGGCGGUGGUGGAAGGUGGCGCCGCGGAAGUCGUCGGCGACAACCUC
rnacentral:lncRNA from 1 species